GAUGAAGAACGCAGUGAAAUGCGAUAAGUAGUGUGAAUUGCAGAAUUCAGUGAAUCAUCGAAUCUUUGAACGCACAUUGCGCCCCUUGGUAUUCCAUGGGGCAUGCCUGUUCGAGCGUCAUUUGUACCUUCAAGCUUUGCUUGGUGUUGGGUGUUUGUCUCGCCUUUGCGUGUAGACUCGCCUUAAAAUAAUUGGCAGCCGGCGUAUUGAUUUCGGAGCGCAGUACAUCUCGCGCUUUGCACUCAUAACGACAGCGUCCAAAAGUACAUUUUACACUCUUGACCUCGGAUCAGGUAGGGAUACCCGCUGAACUUAAGCAUAUCAAUAAGCGGUGGA
rnacentral:misc_RNA from 1 species